rnacentral:lncRNA from 1 species
AAAAAUAGGAGAUGAGAAGUAGGAGAUGUGAAAGAAUAAAUCCAUGGAACACACAUGACAGAUUUAGCAAAAAUUAAAAAUUUCUUCACUUUGACACUUACCUGAAUGCCACCCAGAGAAAAUUCAGCACAUGUGCCAGGCAUAGUGACAAGCACAGUAUGACAUCAUUCUAUUGUGAAUCUCACAAGGUGCCUGUUAUGGCUCUGGUGACUUGCCUCAGACAGAAGAGAAAGCUGAGGCUCAGAGCAGUUAGGGAGGCAGGUCUGUGUUGGAGCCAGGAUGCAAAUACAGGGCUGUCUGUCCCCACAGCCUGUACCUUGCUGUGUGCCUUCCUCAGUCAGCACAAUUUUAUGGGACUAAGCGUUUUAGUCAUGAUACAACAGCAACAGUGAAUUCAGAAAUGUAACUAGAUGUUCUUUCUUCUUUUUAAAUUAAACUAUCUCAUAUUUGCUCCUGUUUGAUCCCUUUUGCAAUUUUUAUUCAUUUAUUUUCUUAUUCACUCAUUCACUCAUUUGGCGCUCUCUCUCUUUCACACACACACACACCCACACACACACACACACACACACACACACAUGAAUAACUACUAAAGUCAUUGUCCUUGAAGAAUUUAAAGUGGAAUCUGUUUAAAGUUUGCUCCAAGGUGUAGAUUCAUGCAUUUUACCGGAAGAUAAGAGGAAAAAGAAAAAGGAGAGAUAAAAGCAGUUUGGAGACAAAGGGAAGAGAUGACAUCUUACAAGUAUAAAGCCUGUUCAAUAAAAUGUGAUUUCAUGAUUGUCAUUUGACAACAUCCCUGGCUUUUGUUUGUUUGUUUCUGGGUAGAGACAAAUUUACUUUCCAUUUCUGAUAACAACGGAGUCAGUCUUCCCUGCUGCCGAGGAUUUUUUGAAACAGCGUGAAUACUGCUCCUUCGCAUUUCUGAGAGAGGGCAGAACCGGGUCAUCGUGUUGCUUGACAGAGGGCCAUGAUAACUGUCUACAGAUAUUUAAAGGGUGUAAAUGAAGACUUGAUUGCUUUAAGAUAUCUUGGUACUAACUUCGUUUAUUAAAGAUGCAAAAGAUUUGGGUGAGGUACUUCUUGGAUGUUUCAGAAAACAACUACAAGAAUCUUUUCAUUUUGAGGACUGUCCUCUGAAUCUCUGAUGAAAGCAAAUAGGAGAUACAUACCCAUGGAACAAUACAAAUAAAUAGAUAACAUCACAAAUAUUUCAAUAUUUCAAUACUCAAUAGAGUACAUUGAUAUCAUCAAGCUUAAUCAACCCUGCACAGUUUAUUGCUUCUGACUGCCUUGCAGACAUAGGUCACCGAAAACUAUGUUUGACCUGUGCCCCUGAUUUUACCCCUAAAGACUCCAGCUUUAGCAGAGGCUGGUGACUUUUGUUUUCCAGGACAGUCUAUUUUCCUGGGUGAUAUAAUUAAAAUAUGAUAAGAUUUUUUUUUUUGAAGGACAAUAGGGAGUCUUUGUCCCAAAAAGAAAAUCUACACCUUCAGGUGUGCCUGUGGCCACUGCAUCAGGACCCCGCCCUUCACACGCGUUAUUCCAUUCUGAAAAUGUCCGAACACUUUCUUAUUUUCCAUGUCCCAGUCUUUAAACUGGAUUGAAGGAGGAAGUUGAAGCUACAGCAUUUGAUGAGAGUGGUAAUGAGGGUGGCAUGUGCAGUUCAACUGUAGCUUCUUACUAUGUAGAGUAUCCGUGUUCUAAAGCGAAGCCUUGUGUGAUCACAGUUCCAGAAAACUGAGGAAUUCAAUGACUCAGAUACUCAGUAACAAUUAAAAAGUUCUUCAUUUAGUGUUUCAGCAGAGCGGGGAGGAGACAGAUUUCCUCCUGUGCAGCCCUGCUUAAGGCGGCCAGUCCCUG